ensembl:lncRNA
AAGGGAGAUGCUUAGCAAGGCUGGAGCAGAGGCCAAAGACACGGCCAGACAUUGGGGCAGGGGCCCUGAAUGACCCUCAGCUGACCAGGCCGACCCGCCACAAUAGCUGACACUUACAGAGUGCUUACCGUGUGGCAAUGACUGUCAAAAGCUCUUGGGAUAUGUUAAUUCAUUAAUCCUCACACAGCCCUGACGAGGCAGUGCUAUCAUUAUAUCCAUUUUACAGAUGAGGAAAUUGAGGCAGGCACGGGUUAAAUGACUUGCCAAAGUCACGCAGGCAGAAAAUGGGAGGGCUGGGGUUUGAACCCCUGCAAUAUGACUCCAGAAUCUCCCAUUUAACCGCUGUGCUCCACGGCCAGCUCAAAGCCAGGUGAGGGUCCAGGUGCUGCUGCCCGGCCUGUGAAGGUAGCGGGAUUCACAGCUGCUGGAGCGGCCUCGGAAAGCGGAAGCGCCGGCUCUGGAGUUAGGCCUGUGUUCACCCCCGGCGCUGACGCUGAUGAGCCAGACACUGCACCUCAGCCCCCGGAGUCCCGGUCUCCUCCUCUGGAAAGUGGAAGCAGCGCCUACCUCCGCAGUCUGAGGAGGCCCCAAGGGAGGGAGCAGGAACCAGAACCAGGUUACGGCAUGGAGACGGCUGCCUUACAAAUGCUGUGGCCUUUGGUAGAAGAUGCAGAUGACCCAGCAACCCAGCGAGGACAACACAGGGGAGUAAAUGCCCUGACCGCUCCCUCUCCCUGUCCUGGGAGCACUUUCUCGUGUCCCCCAUUGGCUGAGUCCAACCUGACGUCAGAGAGCAAGGCUGCCUGUUGAUGCAGCCCACACACAUCAGCCUCACAGCACACAGAGGGUGGAGAAGGGGAGGGAAGAUAUCUAGCCACCUAACAAAUGAAAUUUCUUUAGCUUAAGUCAGUCAGUGACCCCAUUCUGGCAAAAGAGAUUUGAGGGAAGAUCUGCCAAGGAGUUUCUGGGGAAAGGGUCUUUAGUUUUAGGAAAGAGACAGCAGGAAAGAUGUGUUCUUCAUUGUGUCUGAUGCGAUGCCUGGAACUGCAGCAGCCAUCUUGCAAGCAUGAGGAAAGCCAGCAAAGCAAAACUGACCCACUGAGGAUGGAAAAGCAGAGUUGGAAAGAAGUGGAUCCUCAGUGACUUUGUGGGACUGCUCUGAGAACCUGUUCUACCUCUGAGGUUCUUUUUAUCAUGAAAUAACAAAGGUGCUUAUUGGUUGAGUCACUUUUGAGUUGGAUUUCCAGUUACUUGAGGUCUGAAGCUAAUGGACACAGCUGCCAUGCACCAUUGUCACCCCAUAUGCGAGCAUUCUUGGCUCCCACGGACUGCAGGCCAAGCCCUCCUGGUUUCCUCUGCUGACCGUGGGCUUGCACUGACCACGUCAGAUUCAGGGCAGAGUUUCAAAUGCCUUUUUAGUUUGUGACAAAAGAGAGUCAGAAGUGGGAGAUGGGUUCUUAUUGCGAUGCUUCCCUACAGAUGGCUUCUGGCGGUGGCACUGACCACAGCAGAGUGACUCCCACGGAGGCAGGUGAUCUAGGGUAGCGGUGGGGGCACAGGCCUUGCAGGUUGUCAGAACUGGCUUCAAGUCUAGGUCAGCUGCUUCCCAACUGUGUGACUUUGGGCAAGUUAGUUACCUUCUCUGAGCCCUUAGUUUUCUCACUGCAGAUGGUAAGAGUUGAAUUAGAUAAAUGUAAAAACAAACAAACCCUGAUAUUAAUCCUAGUCCUGAGAGGCUGCCCUUAAGGACGUUAUCCCCCUCUCUCCCUAUUCCUUUCCGCUGCUGGGUUGGAUGUGAGGGGGGUUGGGAAGGGUCCAAACGGAUACAGGGCAAGAGCAACAACUCAGUUAAAGGAAGGUUGUGAGCACCCAGAUUGCAGUGACUUGACUCGCCUCAUAGAAGCCCCUCUGUUGUUUGAUGUAUGUAUAUAUGAAUGAAUGAAAGAGUAAAUAAGAAAAAAGAAUGAGAAAGAGGGCUAGACAGAUGGGGAAACUUCACCCACAGAGAAACAGGCUGAAGGAUGGCUUGGUAAAAUCCAGUGACGAGUGUCCAGGGUGCAAAUGGCAGAUGAGUCAGGAGAGGCGAGGCAAUGCUGUGGGAGCAAACGUGCCCGAAACCCAGUGGCUUUAC